rnacentral:lncRNA from 1 species
GGGAGCGUGGAAACGGCCGUGGAGCGCUCAGCCCCGGGAGGAGAACCGCGUCGUGCCCGGAUAAGGAGAUGACAACAUCGCAGAAUGCCUCCGGGGGGAAGCAAGCUGGAAAGCAGCAGCAAAGCCAUUCAGCAAAGGCAGUUGAGAUAGCAGCUAGGAACCUGAGACAGAGUGCAGAGGAAUUCUGAAGUCAGCUGGGUUAGUCCCAUGCAAUGUCUCUGAAAAUGCAGUUAUUAAGGAAAACCUGCCAGCUUUCCCAAAUCUUAAAUUAGUGGCUCUCUGCUCUGCAGCCCAGUGAUGAAAUUAAAUGAGGAGAAGCUUUGAAGGAUGGGCGAGAUUUGGC